rnacentral:rRNA from 1 species
AGCAGCCGCGGUAAUUCCAGCUCCAAUAGCGUAUAUUAAAGUUGUUGCAGUUAAAAAGCUCGUAGUUGAAUUUCGGAAUCGACGGAUUGGUCGCGCCUUCGGUGUGUACUGGUCUUGCCGGUUUCUCCCUUCUGACGAACCACGAUGUCAUUAAUUUGGUGUCGUGGGGAAUCAGGACUGUUACUUUGAAAAAUUAGAGUGUUUAAAGCAGGCAUUAGCUUGAAUACAUUAGCAUGGAAUAAUGAAAUAGGACGUUUGAUCUUAUUUUGUUGGUUUCUAGGAUCGACGUAAUGAUUAAUAGGGAUAGUUGGGGGCAUUAGUAUUCAAUUGUCAGAGGUGAAAUUCUUGGAUUUAUUGAAGACUAACUACUGCGAAAGCAUUUGCCAAGGAUGUUUUCAUUAAUCAAGAACGAAAGUUAGGGGAUCGAAGACGAUCAGAUACCGUCGUAGUCUUAACC